rnacentral:lncRNA from 1 species
CGUCGUCGAGCGGCCGGGCAUAAAUCCGAACUGGUUUUCCGAGAUAGACACUAUCCGUCUCAGCCUCACCUCGACCACUCUCUCCCAUAUCUUCAUAGAGUGACUCAGUAACUUAAUCCCCCUAUAGUUAUUGUAACACUGAAUGUCCCCCUUAUUCUUAUAGAGGGGGAUCAUGGUACUCCACCUCCACGCCUCGGGCAUCUUUG